UUUUUUAAUAUUGUAAUUAGGUAUCUACUAAAUUCCUCAAUUAUUUUAUAACUUCGUGAAAUAACAAUAUCAUUACAAAAUUAUAGUUCGUUACAGAUGAAAUACCAUGAUUUAUGUCAUAAUUAAAAUAACGGUACAAAAAAAGUACAAUGAACAAAAAUUGAUAAUUUUAUUUUUAUUUUUAGAGCAUAUUAGUCGUAUUUGUUAGCGCAUAAUUACAGCAAUACUGCGAUACUUCAAUUAUAUUUUCGCUACCCGGCCGCGGUCAUAAAUUUUGAACGUCAUUUCUCAACUUUUGGGGGGAGAGGAGGGCAAACAUAUACACUAGACGACUAUAACAUAAUAUACGAUGAAAAUAAUGCGGCGUUCUCGUGUGUUUUAUCGUUUGAGUUUGCUAUAAAAAAAAGAAAAAAGAAAUCCUUUUUUACGGUACCUACCCAACAUAAACUAUCGCGUUUAGAAUAUUAACGACUUAUUAUGGUCACAUAUAUAAUGUAUACGUGUGUGUGUGUAAGAUUGAACGCGUAUACCUAAAUCCGGAUUUCUUAACUUUGAAAAACGCUGAAGUUUUUUUGCUCCUUUUUUUUUUUUUUUGUCGUCCCUAGUGAAAAAUAUAAUAUCGUGGCAUUUUCGAGUGGUUUCCGCAUAAGCAAGUAGUGCGUGAUGAGUACAAAUCCGAAAUCCGCGUUAUUCUCGGCGAUAAGUACGGAAGGAGGGAUCAAACCUUAGUAGUUUCUUUUAUCCAUUUUUUUCGGAUCGACUCCUCGGUGGCGUGUACAUUACUCUGAUAAAAUUAGUAAUAGUAAUAAUAAUAAAUUAUAAUCGUGUGUACAACGUAAUAUUUGUACAACAAAUUAUGCAUAACACACGUCGUCUUUCGAAUGUAUUACUUUUUCGCGGAAUGCACUAUAUUAUUAUACGGAGUGGUUUUGUUUUUACCACGAGCCAAUACGAUUGUCUCAUUUAUAUAGUAUAAACUUACGAAAAUGUUUUGGUUGUUUUAUCAAACAUAAUGAUAUAUACUAUAGUCUAUGGAAUAAUCGUUUAAAAAAGGCUUAUGUAUUUUGACUUAUGACUAGAUGUAUUUUCGUCUCAAAUGGCAUUAGUUAAUUUUUUUUUUUUUUUUUAAAUACACCCGAUUUCGGUCAGUUGUUUUUAUUACGGUACACACACCCGGACAACUGUUGCCGUUCGUAUAUUAAAUACUUCGGUAUCCACACAAAGUCAAUACCCUUCCCUCCCCAACCGGAUAUCCGUAUUUUCGUAGACGUUUUAAAGAUUUUCUAUAUCUGCAUAUCGAAAAAGAAAACGCGAGGUCGACGGUACAAAAUAGUUAUCAAUAUUAUUAUAGUAUAAUCAUAUUUCGAUAGGACGUUGAUAAGCCGGUACUUCGAACAGAUUUGUUUUUUUACAUAUUCGGUAUUUUGUCUCGUUAUUGUGCAACGACGUAUAGCAUCCUCUCUAAACGAGCUCGAUGAAUAAUAUUAUAAUAUAUUCGUCGGGUACUAUGUACGCGACACGCAUAAUUAUUAUUAUCGCGUACGUGCACUUAGACUCGACUGAUUGUGUUUAAAAAAUACCCCUCUCCCUACCGAGAUGUACUUUUUAGGAUUUUGGCUUUUGGGGGGAGGCCUAAACAACCAUAGUGCAUGAGUGAAAAAUCAAGACCAAAAAAAAAAAAAAAAUAAAAUAAAAAGUAACCCGACAUUGGGAUACCAAUUGAUACAUAUGAUACUAUAAUGUUAUUAUAUUUGUUAUAAUAUUUGGGAAACAAAACGGCUUUCUCGAAGGGUUUCGAUUAUUAUAAUAUGAAUUAAUAGAAGGGUAAACAAACCGGCGUAUUAUAUCGAAAUAAUCAUCCGCCCCUGACACAUUUUACCACCCGAACUCCCCAAACUAAACGAGUCCCCCCCCCCCCGGAACACCGGAUUUUCGGUUGUUGUUUGUUGUUUUUGUAUCUUUUAUUGUCCCGGUCGCGCAAUUCACUGUACGUUUUUGAUAAUAUCACACGUGUCCUCGUCUCCACGACAAACACGGUUUAUUCUUUUUAUUCCUUGGUCAUCCAUAUACAUAGUAUUGUUGUAGUUUCCCUAGUGUAAAUACAAUAAUAAUAACAUUAGUGGUACUCUGCACUCUCUUAUAAUAAUAAUAUCUAUAUACGUAUAGGUAUUAGACGUUUGAUGUGUGUAAAUAUAUACAUAUAAUAACAUAAUUAUAAUCAUACGGUAUAGGUAAAUUGUUUAACGUUUAAUAAUAAUUAUAGAUGUACGAUUGGUUUGUAUUUUUAUUAUUAUUAUUAUUAUUAUUAUUAAAUAUUGUACUGUAUUGCGUUGUAAUUUUUCAAAAUAACUACUUUAUAAUAUUCGAUUAUAAAUUAUGUUUUUAAGUACCUACCGUAAUGUUAGGUAUAUAAUAUUAUAAGUACAGAACAUAAAUACGAAAAUACGAAAUGCAACGUUUAGGUUGACCGUUUUCAUUUUCAAUCAAACUUACUAUAAUAUUAUUAUUAUUUCUUUAUUUAGACAUUGUUAUAAUUACCAUUAUUAUUAUUGUCAAAAUCCUUUGAUUUUGUUCUUGUAUUUUCGAUAUUUUCAACUGUUAGACAGUUAAGUUUGAUAAUGCGUUUUAAAAUUUUAUAUAACAUACAUUUUUUUUUUUUUUUUUUUGUUAAAAUAUAAUUUAUUCAAAAAACCAACAAAAAAAAACUAAACUUUCAACAAACGAGUAAUUUUGUUUUGUUAUAUUAACCUAGCUGUCCGAUACUGUUUAAUCUGUUGGUACGCAGCAAAAUAUUAAAAAAAAAUAUAUAAAAAUAGCUGAUACUUGGGGCGGGUGCAGCAACUGUUGUAGGUGAGAAAUUGAGAAGAUAACAAC